rnacentral:rRNA from 1 species
GAUGAACGCUGGCGGCGUGCCUAAUACAUGCAAGUCGAGCGAACGGACGAGAAGCUUGCGUCCCUGAGGUUAGCGGCGGACGGGCGAGUAACACGUGGAUAACCUACCUAUAUUACUGGGAUAACUUCGGGAAACCGGAGCUAAUACUGGAUAAUAUUUUGAACCGCAUGGUUCAAGAGUGAAAGACGGCUUUGCUGUCACUUAUAGAUGGAUCCGCGUUGCAUUAGCUAGUUGGUAAGGUAACGGCUUACCAAGGCAACGAUGCAUAGCCGACCUGAGAGGAUGAUCGGCCACACUGGAACUGAGACACGGUCCAGACUCCUACGGGAGGCAGCAGUAGGGAAUCUUCCGCAAUGGGCGAAAGCCUGACGGAGCAACGCCGCGUGAGUGAUGAAGGUCUUCGGAUCGUAAAACUCUGUUAUUAGGGAAGAACAUAUGUGUAAGUAACUGUGCACAUCUUGACGGUACCUAAUCAGAAAGCAACGGCUAACUACGUG